AUAUAAUUAAUGAGGUUGUGUCAAAUAACAAAAAUAACUAAAUAAGUAGCAUUAUAGAAAGCUUUCUAAAUUGGUAUUUGAUAAUUAGAGAACUCUCAUUUGAGAAAUUAUUGGCUUGGAGUUUUGAGAUAUCCAAUAAUAUUUGUAUAUUAUUUUAUUGUUUUGUUGAAGUAGUAGUAGUAGUAACUAACAUAUGCAGGAGCGUUCCUAAAAUGUUGCUCCAUAAAUUAGUAGGUUUAUGUUUCUUCCUGUAGUCACUCUUAAGGCCUUGUUAUGAAUGAUUCAACCUUUUUAUUGCAUAGAAAUUUGCAAUUAACUUUUCACAACGAACAUGAAUAAACAAUGAGAAACGGUUGAUGAUGUGAUCAGCAAAUGGAGCUUAGCGUGGCUGGACUUCACUCAAACCACAAAAAGUCAUGUUGUCCUUUUAUCAUUGUUGUUAAAUUUCUUUAUUCAAUUCCUCUCAUUUUAUAAAUAAAAACAGAAAAAAGUUAGGAAGGACAUGGGUGUGGUCCUAUUUUUCUCUACGCAUGGUACUAUGGUGGAUAGAAACAACUCAUGUAAAUGAGACGAAAGAUUUGAGAAAAUUAUAGAGAUGUUGAUGCCCCAUCCACACCCUCUUAAGUCUUAAGUCUUAACGUCUCUCGUCUAUCCUUCAUUUGCAAAUUGAACCGCAUCCUUUCAAAACGGAUAACAAUUCACUACAACAAGUCCGGUUUGGAGCAUAGGCAAAUGAACCGGUUGUUUAAGGCAUCACGUUCGACAAUUUUAGUUGUAUAUAGAACAUUAUAAAAUAUGUAUAUAAAGAAUAAAACACAGACUUUUAUUUAAAUGUAUGGCAUUAUGAAAAAAAUUAAACUGUUAGACGACACCUAACUACAAGUCUUUGUAAAAGUAUCUAGUUGACGCUCACAAAAGUCUGUUGGGAUGGUAAAUCUAUCAUAUACUAUAUAAGCAGAUGAUUAGCGGGGGAUUGAGUAAGGAGGAUUAGGAUGCUCUGGUCGCCGGAAGUUGCAGGGAUAUCCGUAAAAUCCAUUAGAUUCGUCGUUCGGCCAUCAUAGAAGAAAGGUUAUUGGUGCUGUGAUUCUAUGAAGAUCUGAGAGAAUGAGAAUCAAGAUUGUUCCAAAGACCAACCAUAGGAAUCAGGGGAUUCAAAAAAUUCCCCGCACGAAGUCUUUCUCUAACAAGAGCUUAAAAGAUAUAUGCACAUGUAGCUCGGUUCUGUUCCUGAGUAACCCAAAUAUCGUAGAAUGUGUUUACACUACGGGAACUGAGAUAGCGAACAGGGCUAAAGUAAAUUGUAUCCAGAACAAUUGGGCAGUAAACGUUCAGGUGGAUGAUGAUCAAUGAUCAAACAUAUCAGAGAGUACAAAAGGUAUGCUAUAAUGAUGCUGACAGUUUUUUUUUUUAAUUCCAAUUACUGAGAUUUUGUUUGCCUCUUGGCCCUUGAUCUUAAAAUUUAACCAAUAUUUGAGAAUAGGGAUUAGGUGCCAGGCCAUUUCUACUGCUCAGCGAGAAGAAAUUUAUUGCCCUUCACCAGUUUACUUAGAACCAAAAUGAUUUGUGGAAUUGAAGGGGUUUUCUUCUCACCUUUUUCUUUAGGAAACAUUUAUCGUACUACUGUGAUUAUAGAUUAUAAACUUUUUGAAUGGCAGAGCUUCGCCUAAGUUUAUGCUUCUUUCAAUAGUGUUCUUUAAACAGCUUAUGAGCCAACAUCUGUAUAUGUGUGUAUGUGCUUGUGAUCAGCAUGUUGCUAUGAUUGUACACUUUUUCUACCUCUUGAAUCAACCAACGGAGAAACAAGUAUAACCAAGUCCUGCUCUUAGUAUAUUAGAGUUUUGGCUUAUUGUUUGGAGAUUUGAGAGUCUCUUUUUUCUACGUGUAUUAAUCUAUAUUCUGCAGUAUUUUACUGUCUUUGCUUUCACUAAUGUAUAUAUUAAAUUAGUUAUA